rnacentral:lncRNA from 7 species
GGAACUCACCUUCUCCAUGGCUACCUGCAUCCCAACAGCAGGUUUGGGUCCUGGACCUGUAUCAAUAUAAAUGCUCCUUUAAGUAAAGACUUGGAUGUAUGUCAAUCACUCCUAAGAUGAAUCCUCCAACUUGUUUUGGAAUGGUCAGAUACUCAGCAAUUUUCAGCCCGUCUUUCCAAUUCCUUCUAAAAGUCUUGAGAUCUGCCUCUACUUCAGAAAAAACAUCUAUAGAAACAGAAUUCAGGAGACAACUCCCAGUAACAGCAACCAUUGUUCCCGCUGGUCACCCAGAAGAGAAGCUUGAAGAGGAAGUGCUACACUGGUAUAAUGACUAGUUCUCACUGACAAAGAAUGAUCAUGCUGCAGACUGUGUGUGAUAAAGUGAAAUCAAAACUGGAAAAUCCUGGAUCAGCUCAGUGUCUCAUCUGCUUCUCCAGACAUACACUUUCAAACUUCUGGAAUUCAUCUUUCUCACUGGAAGACUGAAUAAACAAGACCAAGAGGGAUCUCAGCAUGGCUUUACAAUAAAAUAUUUGACUAUAGUUAGGACAUCUGGGAUCAGUUUGGGGACAGUUUCAGGUCUGGAACUAUCUAUUUGAACUACAGUAAUUUUAUUUGGCAGUUUUGGUCAUUAUUUCAAUUUUGCUUUCUGCCAGCUGGGAAAGUCUACUUCUGUCUGAGUAUACUGCGGUGUCUGUGGUUUGCAGAUGUAUGUUCUUCUUGAUCCCUAUUCACUGACACACCCUGUAUUGUCUUCUUCACUUGGAAGACAUCUGUACAGCUAAGCUUCUGCUAAGCAAGAGUUCUUUCAGAAAUAUAACUUUUAUUUACUAAGGUAACUUAUGUAUAUUUAGGUCAGUCUUAAUCAUUGUUUAUUCUAAAGAAAUUCAGGUUAGGAAAUAUCCAUGAAACAGGCAAAACUUAUUAAUUUCCUAAUUGUGUUAUUUUUCUAAUAUUUCAUUUCAGUGAGGGAAAACAUUUCUAAUUUUCUUGACUAAAUUGUUUCCAUUUUGUCAAAUUCAUUUUUUCUAAUAAGUAUAUGGGUAGGGUUUUUUUUAGUUUAGUUUUGUUUUUUGAUUUUUCCUUCUUUUUUAAUUUAUUUUUUAUUCAAUUUUAGCUUUAAUGUUGAUGUAAAAAUCGAAGUAGAGAAAAGUUUUGAGGGAGUCUAGGAACAGAGAUAACCUGUAUCUAUUUUUUAUUUUACAGAAUUAAGUUCAACAACAUUAAAAUGGUUCUC